rnacentral:rRNA from 1 species
GAUGAACGCUAGCGGCAGGCCUAACACAUGCAAGUCGAGGGGUAGAGGAAGCCUGCUUCCUUGAGACCGGCGCACGGGUGCGUAACGCGUAUGCAAUCUACCUUAUACAGGGGAAUAGCCCAGAGAAAUUUGGAUUAAUGCCCCAUAGUGUUAUUGAAUCGCAUGGUUUAGUAACUAAAGUUCCAACGGUAUAAGAUGAGCAUGCGUCCCAUUAGUUAGUUGGUAAGGUAACGGCUUACCAAGACAAUGAUGGGUAGGGGUCCUGAGAGGGAGAUCCCCCACACUGGUACUGAGACACGGACCAGACUCCUACGGGAGGCAGCAGUGAGGAAUGUUGGACAAUGGGCGCAAGCCUGAUCCAGCCAUGCCGCGUGCAGGAAUAAGGUCCUAUGGAUUGUAAACUGCUUUUAUACAGGAAGAAACACACCCUCGUGAGGGUACUUGA